rnacentral:tRNA from 1 species
GCCGGAGUGGCGGAACUGGCAGACGCAAGGGACUUAAAAUCCCUCGGGGGGGAACCCCCGUACGGGUUCAAUUCCCGUCUCCGGCA